rnacentral:tRNA from 1 species
GUCCUCGUAGCUCAAUGGAUAGAGCGCGACGUUGCGGACGUUGAGGUUGGGAGUUCGACUCUCCCCGAGGACGCCA